CCCACACCCAUGUCUGUAGGACCCCAAAGGAUCACCAUUAAAUUUAACACAGAUCUCUAGCAAAGUUAUCACAUGGGUGUGAGACUUGAUUUUUUAGAGAUCUGUGUUAUAUUUAAUGGUGAUCCUUUGGGGUUCUAUAUACAUGAGUGUGAG
rnacentral:pre_miRNA from 1 species